CCUACGGGAGGCAGCAGUAGGGAAUCUUCCACAAUGGACGAAAGUCUGAUGGAGCAACGCCGCGUGAGUGAAGAAGGGUUUCGGCUCGUAAAACUCUGUUGGUAGAGAAGAACAAUGAUGGGAGUAACUGUUCUUUACUUGACGGUAUUUAAUUAGAAAGCCACGGCUAACUACGUGCCAGCAGCCGCGGUAAUACGUAGGUGGCAAGCGUUGUCCGGAUUUAUUGGGCGUAAAGCGAGUGCAGGCGGUUUCUUAAGUCUGAU
rnacentral:rRNA from 1 species